CCGAGAGGCCUAGAGCGCCGGCGCGCGCGACUGCGGGAGGUGGGCAGAGGCGCCAUGUCGGCUUAGGACCGGUCUGGUGCUGACCAGACCCCGACUGCCCCCGCUGGAGAACGGGAGGGGGCGGGGCUUUGACGCCAUUUCGGGUGUGGAUGAUGCUGGGGCGGGGGCUGCAGUGGCAGCUGUGAGAACCAAGCUCGCGCUGGCCGAGGCGGAGGGCUCCGCUCUGGUUGUGUCCCGGAGCACCUUCCCCCGUCGCGGAAAUGUGCCCAGCCGGCCCCGAGGCCAGGCGUGACAAGGCACCGGGCCUGCCGGAGCUGGGGUCUGCCGCCCUUCCCUAGGGCCGCGUGGCGUGUGUAGGAGUCACACAGCGGGCGGCUGGGGGAGUCCCAACAUCUUCACCGUGCAGCAGUGAGAGCGGGAGGGGAGGGGUGUAGGAGGAGAUUGAAACCCGGGGUUGGACCUGUGCCUGCCGGGCCGGUCUGCCUUUUGCUCCGGGUGCCGUGAUGUGGAUCGCUCCGAGGGAAAGGAGAGACGGUCCUGCUCACCUUGGUAUUUCCGUUGUUCCCAGCUGUACUCUUAUUGUCCGAUUGACCCAGGAUAUGGUUUCCCCGCCUAGGGUCGAGGCUGGAACCUUUGCAGAGUUAAAUUGGCUGCUCUCAGCUCUAGGUUUAUGCUGUGAGCCUUCCCCUCCUCGCUCCAGAGGCCUUGGUAGCUGUUGCAAGGACUAAAGGAUUUGGAAGGCAGAGGAGCAGGCGUUUGUGGACACUGUCAUGGACUGCUCACCUGUGCUGGAACGCAUACUUGAUUUUUCAUGGGCUGUGGGGAGUCCUGAACUUUUCAUAUGAAAGCUUUGAAGACUUCUGAUGUUUGCUUGUGCCCAUGAAGUGAUCCCUAUGCAGACUACGAGGAGUCCUUGCAGUUGGAGGCAUAAUGCCUCCUCUGGCUCUGGAGCAAGAAAAUAAAUUCCUGGGUAAAACCAAACAACUUUUCUUGGCCCUGAUGAAGAAGCCAUGUAUGUGGAGCAGAUUCCACAUCCAAGGUGUAGCCUUGAGCACUGCGGACUGAGAUAGAGCUCUGAUCAGGCUAUUGUCCUGGAAGGGAUACAGGUGAGUUCCCUGUGACCUGUCUGGCUCUUGACAGUACCAACAUCUUUGUAAAAACCUGGGGGCCAUGGGCAGGUCAAAUGGGAGCGUUAGAAACAGAUACUGGCUCCUGGCGUAUGCAAAUCUCAGAAGUCUGUAGUGACAUGAUUUGGGGAAUAUGAAGAUAAGAUUCCACUACAUCUACUGAAGUCAAGAAGCCCACUGGGACAGGGAUGACACUGCAGAGACCAUGGUCUCCAUCUGAAACUUUUUCUUCAUCCACUUGUUGAGCCUUUUGAGGUAAAGAAUGACUCUGAUGCACCCCUCCCUACCCUCACUGUUGCAUAAUGAAGAUGUAGAACCCAAAGAACCUUUCUUCUGAGGGAAGGUAUUCUAUCACUCCCAUAUCCAGAAAAUGAGAGAUUUCCUUCUGAAUCAGAUUGUGUUUUAUGGGGUCACUGUUCCCUGAGUCACUUGCGCAUGGUCAAUGAAAACCAUUUCUUUAGGAAAUGGGAGAUCCUGACUGCAGCUUUAGCUGUAGCUGGAGACCUAUGUGAUCUGUGUCAAAGUGGAUGGGGAGAGGGCAGGCAGAGAGGCUAACGUCCCUCUAGACUUUCAGUCCAUUUUCUUGAGGGAAUCUGUUGUGGCUUUGCUGGUACCUCUGAGGAUGAGCAGCAAAAAGAGCACCUCUCUGAAGGCCGGUUUAUAUCAUCUCCUGGGAGACCUUAAUGGGGAAAGAGGAGGCAAUGCAGCACAAUCCAAACAAUCAGCCACCACUUUAUCCAUGUUUUCUUCAAAAAGGAGGGAGCCCGUAACCUUGGCUGAGCACAAGACCUGCAUAGAGUGAGUAGCCACCUUCCAGGAACUGAACCAUAGAUGCUGCAUGGCUGCUGAGCUGGAAGCCAUGGCUCAGGCUGAAACCCUCAUUGUAACUGAUACCUCAACAGAUGCAAAUACUGUUGCUAGUGACUCCUUAAAGUGGAGCCCAAGUGAACUCCCGGAUGGCAUUGAUGUUACAUCCUCCUCUUCCAAUGACUCUGGAAAUUACUGUUGAUGGGACAGAAACCUUCUUUGAUCUAUGCAGAAGAAAAAAGUAUUAAGGGAACUAGAGAAGUUUUGAUGAUCUGAAAUAAGAUUAUUUUACAAUUCUAACAGAAAAAAUAAUCAUAUCAGGAAUAGCUGUUUGAAGCACUUUCUCUACCAAAGACACAGCAGUGAAGUUUUGGCCACCUAAAAGGUGGAUUUUAUGGUGGCUAAACAUUCACUGGCUCCUUUUUUUGGCUAAGGAGGAAGUCCUUGGGAAGUUCUCAGAUACAGUGUGAUGUGGGGCCAUAUCAAUAUUUGGAUGAAUGGCAUUAAAUUCUUGCAAACUCACAGAACUUUGCCGGUGAGGUGAGGGGAUGGGGGGAAGAAGUGCCAUGGAGAGUGCUGUCUCCUCACUCAUGUCAUCCUCCAACACUGCACAGCCUGAACUUCAGGGAGGAGAUUUUGCAGGGAGUGUGAUGAUGGUGCAGGGAAUCAGUGAUACAGUGGAAACACUGUGUACUACCACCGCUCUACUUUUCUCAUGAUCUACUUCCUGCUGAUGCCUUAUUCCUUUUGAUACCUGAUGCCAUUUGCCCAUACCAACCUGGACCAGAGAUGAACAAUGCAAGAGAUAGAACUUUCACAGCAGGUCAGAGGCUCAAAAGAUAUUACCACUCCCCUGAGAAGCAAUUACUGAAUAUUAUGGAAAUUGGGAAGCCAUUUAUGCAAGAUAAAUGGAUAGCAAUUCAAUCCAACAGCAAUUCACUUACUCAACAGCAAGCGUCAACUUCAGAUACUUAGUUUAAGCUCAGAACAGCACUGGAUCCCAAAAAUACUGAACAGCAUAAAAGGAAUGCUUGCUUAUAAAACAGAAAUGGAUAAUAUUUUACUGUUUGUUUACAGUUCUUGUUUACUGCAUUUAAUCAACAUCAGGAGAACAAUCUUUCAACUAUGUUUAAGAAUGGAAGACUUUUGGAGCUCCACUGUGGUUAUAUGAAUAUAAUCAAAUGUCACAUUGGAAGUGUUAGAAUGUUAUAUUUAUUUUUAUGGAAAAGACAAAAUAAACAAAGCUGCCUUCUGUAAUAAUA